rnacentral:sRNA from 1 species
UGCUAUUAUUUCCGCUGGUGUCAUCCA